rnacentral:lncRNA from 1 species
CCACCUGCCACACCUGAUUCAGCUUCCCCAUCUCCGGCAACGCCAGCGUGGCAAAAAUCUUGAAAACCCCAUCAGAAAACUCACCGCUCUUCUGGGUCACCUCAAAGCUCAACUUAGACUCGGCAAUUGGGCCAUAAGAAGUGAUAUUGUAGGUCUUGACAGCCACUGACCCAUCUGGGUUCUUGAAGCCAAUGAGAGCCUGUGAGCCGACCAUUCCGGUUGCUGUUGGGUUGAUGGCCCAGGCCACCCAGCCGUCGGGCUUGGGCGGCGUUGCAACAAAGGCUAUUGAGAGAGAUGAUUUGGUAGCGUCAUAAGUGUAGUGGAGGUAGGAGUUUAACUGGGGGAGAUCAUUGCAGUGCUGGUAGAUUUUGUUGUUGGUGAAUUUUUGGGAAGUGCAGGUG